rnacentral:lncRNA from 1 species
AGAGAAGACUGGCAGCUGCAGAGCAGGACAGACCAGAUUGGCCAGUACAACAGCAGAGGGCCAUGUUGGGCUUUGACUCAGGAAUCCUGGUGGAGGCAAUGAUGAGAGAGAAGAGAUAAAACACACUAGGUAAGCCAAGGUAGUUGUCAGGAUAGAAGGAGACAGGCAGGCCAGAUGGCUGUUAACCGUGUGGUGUGUCCCAACUUUCCAGCAUCAAUUUAAUGGCCAAAUUAAAAUCAGAGCCAAGUGUUAGAGUUAUUGCUGCCUGAGUUAUAACAGCUGCCCUGGGAAUCUUGUCUGAACAACAAGUUAACUGCUGUUCCCAGUUAUAUCUGGUCUUUCCCACCCCCAAACAUACACAAAAGAUUUUUGUCAUUCUUGGCACUGGACAACAGAAGUGAUAAGACAUGCCAGCAGAACUCUAAAGGCAGAAUGUCCUUCCACCUGUUUUAUGCUGUAAGACAAACUUCCAAGUGCGAGGCAGUGUGGAGGGCUGUUGCCUUGAAUGGCAGCUGAAUGCACCAGCGGGAUCCUUGGCAGCAAUGCCCAGGCACUGAAGUCGGGCAUUCAGGAGAGCUAAAUGGAGAAAAGAAACUUGAGCAAACUGCUUCCUGGAACACUGAGAACCUGAAUGGGAAAUUAAGAAGAACCAGAUUCUUUCUAUUCUUCCACCAGCCAAGGUGAUGAGCACAAAAGGAUCCAUCUUAUACAGUGCUUGCCAGCUUCCAUAAUACUACUCACCACGAUGUUGAAAUCACCUGUUCCAGAACCAGUCCUGUCCUUUGACAAGAAGGAUUUAAUUAUCAGUAGUGGUGGGGACUGGCUGGAGAGAGGAAAAACACUUCAAGGACUCUGCCACCUUUCGUAGAUGGAGAGUGCAAAGUUUGUACCAUGGAACUCCUUCUCUAACAGUUACUCUGUGGCAGUGCCUAUUUCAAACCUCCCUUAACUUCUGAUUGUAUAGAUGUUUGUUUCAUUUGUUCAUCUGUUUGUUCACUUAGUCAGAGAUGUUUUAAGCCUUAAGAGAAAUAGUGGACUAGAAAAUGCCUUGGAAAAGUACAAAGUUCAAUCCAAGUAAACUGUUUUUAAACUAGGAAUUUAUGAAGCCUAAAAUAUAAAAUGUAUAUACAUGGAUAUGCUCUGAAGUGAGGUAGAGGGGUAGAAAUCAACAUUGUGAUAUUGUACUAUAGUUUUGCAAGAUGUUACCAUUGGGGGAAAAUGUUUGAAGGGUAUACGGGAUAUCUCUGCCUUAUUUCUUACAACUGCAUGUGAAUCUACAGUUAUCUCAAAAUAAAAAUUUAAUUAACAAUUGAUUACAAUUAACAGCAUUAAUUUCUUAUCCUGUCAUUUUCCUUCUCCUGAAAUUGCAGAAUAGCCAAACAGAAACCUACCCAUGACCACCAUCUGAGAUUCUUUGGUGCCCGUAUUAGUGGACAUAGGCAGGUGUAUCAGGAGGCAUCCAGUCACGCAUACUGGAAGAUACUGACUCAACUGAUUUAAGCAAAGGAAAAUACAGUGUAUUAUAUAAUGAGACAUCUUGAGUAGGGUAGUCCUAGGGUCAGUUGAUUCAGCAGCUUGAUUGAUAAUCAAGGGCCCAAAUUCUUUCCCACUUUCUACCCUGCCAUCCUCAGCCUAUCAGUUUCGUCCUCCAGCUGGCUUAAAGGUAGUUGCAAGGUGGCUGCUAUCAUGCCAUGCAAAAUGCAAAUGCAAAAAGUAUGCAGAUACAAAAAGUAUCUCUUUUCAUAAGUCUCAUUUUAAGGGCAAGGAAAAACCUGCAGGCCUUUCUGCCACUCUCUUGACCCACUUACUUAACUGUGGAACAAGUCACAAACACCUGUUUAAGUGGAUCACUUGGCCAGGAGGGAGAGAUUGCCAUUAUCCUUAGAUGGAGGAGAAUGGGGGUGGGGGUUGUUAUGCCUGAACAUAAUCAGUGCUCUGCCAGUGAGUAAGAGCAGAGAUGGGGUGAUUAAUAGGCAACCCCUCACCAAGGAGCCAUUGUAAAGCUUCAGGCCAGUUCAGAAGGUGAUGAAGAUGGAAAGCCUCCAAAGCAACCAGAACAACCAGAAGGAACACGCUUUUACAGCUUGCUUCUGAUUCCACACCGCGAGGACAAUGGGUCCAGCAUGCCACACUGAUCCAGGAACUUAGAACUAAGUAAGAAGCAAGGGAGAGAGGCUGCUAUAGCUGAAACCCAGAGAAUGAACUUUCUCCCAGGAGGUUGCAAGGGCUGCCCUUGUAAAAGAUCCUGUCCUGGGUUUAAAGGUUAGCAAAUUUUCUGUUUUGUUUUGCUUUGACUGCAUGAGGGUUGAGUUAAAGUGAAAUAAUAUUUAAGACUUAUUUUUUAAAUAAGAUAUUUUAUGUUUUUAUUUUUGUUUUUUUUUUUUUUUUUGGUUGGUAGAGACAGGGUCUCACUGUGUUGCCCAGGCUGGUUUUGAACACCUGGGCUUCUAAUCCUCCUGCCUCAGCCUCCCAAAGUGCUAGCAUCACAGGCAUGUGCCACCACACCCAACCCCUUAAAAGUCUUUUUACAAAUGAGAACAUGAACAAUUGCCUUUCAGAUUAUUUCCUGGUCAUCAAAGAUUUCUUUCUUUAUUUACAUAAAGGGGACAGGGGUCAGUCUGUGUAUUGGAAGAUGUGCCCAUAUUUGGUCACAUAUUGGAAGAGUACAAAAUUGCCCAAAUAAGGGAUAUUUAUUGCCUUCCUGACUGCAGACUCAAGGAGGCAGGAACUUUGACAUUUUCUCCAAUGCCUAUCUGUAUCCACAUUGCCUGUAACAUAGUAUAUGCUCAAUAAAUAUUGAUUGAACUAAUUAAAAAA